UCCAGAGUCAGGAGACAGUCAUAUUGAAUGGGAGGGAAAUAUAUUUCUUGACCAUUGAUUACAUUAUUGAUCAUAGUUACAUGACCACAACACUCGAGGAAAGGAAAAUUAAUUGACCACACUGACAAAUUGUAAUUGAAAGGGAAAGGAAAUUGUGCAGAUUUUAUUUGCGGACUUUGAUAGGUGAAAAAAGAAAAUGAAGGCAGUAGUCUUCAACUCAGAAACAAAGAUUUAAGAAGGAAAGGCAUGUAUGUAACCAGUGCAAUAAUGGGCUCAGCUUCUUCCUUCCUUCUUCUCCACCUGGCCUCAGUUCCUCUUGAUCUCGCAUUUGCCAACGCAAUCCUCGCGGCAGAGUAACAAUGCAGCCUGAUCCGCAAUUUUGCCAUUGCAGAAGGUGAUACAACCUUUAAAGCAUAUGACGUCGCAUAUGUUGUUGUUGAUGCCGCAGACAGUAGUGUCCGCCGGCACCUGCAGAAGGCUCCGCCUUGCAGCCGCGGCCGCUGGCGUCGCCACCAGCAGCUGCCCGGCAAACAGGACGAGCAUGAGGACAGCGGCGGUCCUGAGAGCGGCGCUGGAAGCCAUUGGUAACUGAAGUGGCAGCGGCGCUGGGACUGGGAGGCGGCUAGUAGCUAGAGAGAACGAGGGAUGGAUUGAUCAACCCUAGCUGUAGAAGCUAGCGUUUGCUGCUGCUGGCUUGCGGUUGAUGAGACUGCCGCUGGGGAUCGCUCCUAUUUAUAGGCGGCCGAGCACGCAGAAGCUAGCGCAUGCAGAGGCGAAGAAGCUAAGGUAUCAU
rnacentral:lncRNA from 1 species